UACGAAGGGGGCUAGCGUUGCUCGGAAUCACUGGGCGUAAAGCGCGCGUAGGCGGAUUGUUAAGUCAGGGGUGAAAUCCUGGAGCUCAACUCCAGAACUGCCUUUGAUACUGGCGAUCUUGAGUCCGGGAGAGGUGAGUGGAACUGCGAGUGUAGAGGUGAAAUUCGUAGAUAUUCGGAAGAACACCAGUGGCGAAGGCGGCUCACUGGCCCGGUACUGACGCUGAGGUGCGAAAGCGUGGGGAGCAAACAGG
rnacentral:rRNA from 1 species